rnacentral:rRNA from 1 species
GUGAAUCAUCGAAUCUUUGAACGCACCUUGCACUCUUUGGUAUUCCGAAGAGUAUGUCUGUUUGAGUGUCAUGAAACUCUCAACCCCCUUGUUUCGUAAUGGAACAGGUGUGGGCUUGGAUUAUGGCUGUCUGCUGGACUCUUUAAUUAGAGACCGGCUCGGCUGAAAUAUACGAGUAACCCAGUUUGAAUAUUAACGGUUUGACUCGGCGUAAUAGCUUUAUUUCGCUGAGGACGUUUCAUAUCAAGAUAGUGGUGCUUCUAAUGCGUCGUAGCGUCAGCUGCACACCUUAAGCUUUAGACCUCAAAUCAGUCAGGACUACCCGCUGAACUUAA